UGGGGAAUAUUGGACAAUGGGCGCAAGCCUGAUCCAGCAAUUCCGCGUGGGUGAAGAAGGUCUUCGGAUUGUAAAGCCCUUUCGGCGGGGACGCGGUACCUGCAGAAGAAGCCCCGGCUAACUUCGUGCCAGCAGCCGCGGUAAUACGAAGGGGGCUAGCGUUGCUCGGAAUGACUGGGCGUAAAGGGCGCGUAGGCGGCUUGGUAAGUCAGGCGUGAAAUUCCUGGGCUUAACCUGGGGGCUGCGCUUGAGACUGCUUGGCUUGAGGGCAGGAGAGGCUCGUGGAAUUCCCAGUGUAGAGGUGAAAUUCGUAGAUAUUGGGAAGAACACCGGUGGCGAAGGCGGCGAGCUGGCCUGUUGCUGACGCUGAGGCGCGAAAGCGUGGGGAGCAAACAGGAUUAGAUACCCUUGUAGU
rnacentral:rRNA from 1 species